UUGCCAUCGCGAGGGGCGGGGCGUGAACCAGGUCAGGUGGGGAACCAAGCAGCCUUAAGCGUCUUGCUCCUGUGCGGUGGUUUUUC
rnacentral:SRP_RNA from 1 species